rnacentral:rRNA from 1 species
CCUACGGGGGGCUGCAGUGGGGAAUUUUGGACAAUGGGCGCAAGCCUGAUCCAGCCAUGCCGCGUGCGGGAAGAAGGCCUUCGGGUUGUAAACCGCUUUUGUCAGGGAAGAAACGGCUCGGGCUAAUACCUCGGGCUAAUGACGGUACCUGAAGAAUAAGCACCGGCUAACUACGUGCCAGCAGCCGCGGUAAUACGUAGGGUGCUAGCGUUAAUCGGACGUGCUGGGGCUGUCAUGCAAGACAGAGGUCAAAUCCCCGGGCUCAACCUGGGAACUGCAUUUGUGACUGCAUGACUUGAGUACGGUAGAGGGGGAUGGAAUUCCGCGUGUAGCAGUGAAAUGCGUAGAUAUGCGGAGGAACACCGAUGGCGAAGGCAAUCCCCUGGACCUGUACUGACGCUCAUGCACGAAAGCGUGGGGAGCAAACAGGAUUAGAUACCCGUGUAGUC